UCAGUGUUGCGAGUGCGUACUCGCUCAUGCAUGUGCUUAGACGGUACGUGACGAUCGAGUUCCAAACUUGCUGAGCCGUCCAUAUAUACACAGUAAAUGUUUACGGCUUACGGCUACAUUCCGUUGUGUAUAAUUCAUGCUUCGAUUCAAUUUGGGAAAAAAUAACAAUACGUUUUUGUCAUUCAAAAUUCAUCCUAAAGUACACAUGUGUCGGCUGGGAACUUCCUUUGCACAGGAGCGGCUAUGGAUUUUCAAUUUGCUGAGCAUGGGUGUGAUAGAGAAAGAUGCAGGAUCGGUUACGUGUUGGCACUGAACAACGGGAGCCGCUACUGUCCAAGCAGAAGAAAAAGGUCCCGGCUGUAUGCGUAUCUGCGGCGUUACUUACAUCUUUUAUCCGAUCUACCCGUAGCCUUUAAUUAAUUUGAGAGGAUGGGGCCGUCGGCUAUCGCCAUUGUGAAGGAGUUGGGCAAAAGACUGCAGCAGCACACAGGAGAGCGUCGACCGCAUGAAUUUCUGCGUCAACGACUAUCGUUGGAGAUUCAGCGCGGAAAUGCAGCAUCUAUCCUUGGCACGAUGGAUGGGGCGGCCGGAUAGUUCAAAUGAAGUUUUGCUGUUGUGAAUAAUAUAACUUGUUUAUUUUUCUUUUACCAGAUCUGUGCAUUGAUUACUAAUAA